UUUUUUUUGUCUUUUUUUCUAGGGCCGCACCCGCAGCAUAUGGAGGUUCCCAGCCUAGGAGUCCAGUUGGAGCUACAGCCACUGGCCCUCACCACAGCCCCAGCAAGCCAGAUCGAGCUGCAUCUUCGAUCUAUACCACAGCUCACAGCAACGCUGUAUCCUUAACCCACUGAAUGAGGCCAGGGUUUGAACCCACAACCUCAUGGUUCCUAGUCGGAUUCGUUAACCGUGGAGCCAUGACGGGAACUCCCCAAUUUUUUUUUUUUUUUUGCCUUUUUGCCAUUUCUUGGGCCACUCCCAUGGCAUAUGGAGGUGCAGCCUUAAAAGAGACAAAAAGACAAAAAGAAAAAAACAGAAAAACAGGGAUCAAGGUUAUUUUGAAGACUUCUGCCUAUUUAAUAUCAUCGUAUGUGAAACAUGCAUUGUGUCCCCUAUGUGUGAUUCUUCAGCUACUGAAAGACUUGAACUCCAAGUCAAGGGAAUCGUCUCCUACCUCAAUCUUUAGAGAAAGACCUUAAAAUGCCCACACCUUGCAAAGAAAGAUGAAAGCAUGUGUGGCAGGAGUGGAGCAAAAUGGUCCCACUGAUUUCCACUGAUAUAACAGGCUUUCUGAGAACUGGGCUGAUGCGACUUGACUAUAAAAGACGCCUAUUUCAAUGGAACAGGUCAACUUGGAGAAGACACAGGAAAGAGAAGAGACGCCUGACAUGACAGACAGAAAACAUGGGCUUUCUACAGUUAAUCAAAUGGGCCCUGCCUGCAAAGCCAACAUGUCUCCUGAAAUCCAAACCUUUGAUUUUUGCAUGGCUGCCAGCUCAUUUCCAAAGCAUCCACUGCUAAUCAAACUUGUUUGGC
rnacentral:lncRNA from 1 species